AAAAAAAAUAUCGUGAGUCCGCUACAAAAUAUGAGUUCAACGUGAUUUGAACCCAAACGUUAAUAGAGACAGGCCAGACGAACUACCACUAAGCCACCAGGGACGAUCUGAAAUUUUUGUGAAAUUAAAGACAAUAGUAGAUUGUUGUGACCUGCUUAUCUCAUGCGGUGUAGGAGACUAUUAUGCGGGGAAUGGCGGUGAACGCGGUGAAAGAAUUCAAUAUGAAAUCAACACAGAAUGAUUAGCUGGAUCUCUUCGGGCCAGGUUCAACAUAGCAAUAUUUUAUACUACUUGCAAAGCGAUUUCGCACAUAGAACUAUAAAAAGAGUAAAAAAUAGCCAGAUUAUAUAAAGGGAAAAAAAAUAUUGUGAGUCCGCUACAAAAUAUGAGUUCAACGUGAUUUGAACCCAAACGUUAA